rnacentral:rRNA from 1 species
CCGCAGUUUAAGCGUGCUUGGGCGAGAGUAGUACUAGGAUGGGUAACUUGGUGAGAAGUCCUCGUGCUGCACCCC